AGUUAACGCUGGCGGUAGGCCUAACACAUGCAAGUCGAACGGCAGCACAGUAAGAGCUUGCUCUUACGGGUGGCGAGUGGCGGACGGGUGAGGAAUACAUCGGAAUCUACUUUUUCGUGGGGGAUAACGUAGGGAAACUUACGCUAAUACCGCAUACGACCUACGGGUGAAAGCAGGGGAUCUUCGGACCUUGCGCGAUUGAAUGAGCCGAUGUCGGAUUAGCUAGUUGGCGGAGUAAAGGCCCACCAAGGCGACGAUCCGUAGCUGGUCUGAGAGGAUGAUCAGCCACACUGGAACUGAGACACGGUCCAGACUCCUACGGGAGGCAGCAGUGGGGAAUAUUGGACAAUGGGCGCAAGCCUGAUCCAGCCAUACCGCGUGGGUGAAGAAGGCCUUCGGGUUGUAAAGCCCUUUUGUUGGGAAAGAAAAGCAGCAGGUUAAUACCCCGCUGUUCUGACGGUACCCAAAGAAUAAGCACCGGCUAACUUCGUG
rnacentral:rRNA from 1 species